rnacentral:rRNA from 1 species
ACAGGAGGGAGCUUGCUUCCUUGCUGACGAGUGGCGGACGGGUGAGUAAUGCUUGGGAAUCUGUCUUAGGGAGGGGGAUAACCACGGGAAACUGUGGCUAAUACCGCGUAUAAUCGGAAGAUGAGAGGUGUGGGAUCGAAAGACCAUAUGCCCUAAGGUGAGCCCAAGUGAGAUUAGGUAGUUGGUGGGGUAAAGGCCUACCAAGCCGACGAUCUCUAGCUGGUCUGAGAGGAUGACCAGCCACACUGGGACUGAGACACGGCCCAGACUCCUACGGGAGGCAGCAGUGGGGAAUAUUGCGCAAUGGGGGCAACCCUGACGCAGCCAUGCCGCGUGAAUGAAGAAGGCCUUCGGGUUGUAAAGUUCUUUCAGUGGUGAGGAAGGUAAUAAUGUUAAUAGUAUUAUUAAUUGACGUUAGCCACAGAAGAAGCACCGGCUAAUUCCGUGCCAGCAGCCGCGGUAAUACGGAAGGUGCGAGCGUUAAUCGGAAUAACUGGGCGUAAAGGGCACGCAGGCGGUAACUUAAGUGAGGUGUGAAAGCCCAGGGCUUAACCUUGGAAUUGCACUUCAUACUGAGUUGCUAGAGUACUCUAGGGAGGGGUAGAAUUCCACGUGUAGCGGUGAAAUGCGUAGAGAUGUGGAGGAAUACCGAAGGCGAAGGCAGCCCCUUGGGGAGUAACUGACGCUCAUGUGCGAAAGCGUG